rnacentral:rRNA from 1 species
GGUUCAUUCAAAUUUUUGCCCUAUCAACUUUCGACUUUAGUGUAGUGGACUAAAGUGGUUACAACGGGUAACGGAGGGUUAGGGCUCGACCCCGGAGAAGGAGCCUGAGAAACGGCUACUACAUCCAAGGAAGGCAGCAGGCGCGCAAAUUACCCAAUCCCGACCGGGGAGGUAGUGACAAUAAAUACUGAUACAGGGCUCUUUUGGGUCUUGUAAUUGGAAUGAGUACAAUCUAAAUCCCUUAACGAGGAACAAUUGGAGGGCAAGUCUGGUGCCAGCAGCCGCGGUAAUUCCAGCUCCAAUAGCGUAUAUUAAAGUUGUUGCCGUUAAAAAGCUCGUAGUUG